UCUCGAUGUAGAGGUGCGGUAUUGAAAAGUAAUCAUGAUUGGGGUGAUACCAAUGAAUCAUGGUGAAAGGCUUUAUCGCCGAAGUGGGUCGUCGAUCAAAACGGCUCGCUGGGGUUGUCAGCGAAUAGGGGCAACACUGCCAUAGUCUGCAUACCAACGCAGGUACGAUUGCUUGGUAUACCGUUGUUAAACUAUGGAGCGCUACUGUAGGG
rnacentral:ncRNA from 2 species